UGCAAUGAUGUGAGAUGACCAAAUGCCUACGUAAUUAGAUAAAGUGAGGUAGACGGCAUCAGCAUUGUGACAUAGUGCUAGGCUACUCCUGACCUUCUGACAUAGAAUCUAUUUCUGGACAUGACUAACCAAAGGUAUCUGAAACCGCAGACACUGAAACUAUGGACGGGGAGGAGGUACAGACAGGUUUCAGGUUAACUUCUGUACAGAAAGUACACUAGGACUGCUUUUUUACCAUGGACCAAACUGAAGAAAAGUACCUUCCAUCCACGUCACACAACGAUGUUUAUGAAACACCAAAGUUCUUCAACGCCCUGAGAAAUCUGAGUCCUUAUGCAUUCCUAGUUCUACGCACGUUGCACACUUAACCUGAAAAACUCAGAAAAACCUUCUCUGAAUCUCCCCGAUUGGACUAAGGCCAAUCAAUCAUGUGUUCUCUCGGACAUCUACGCAUCAGGGUAGCAUUUUUCACUUAUUGUAAUUAAAACAGCAGCAAUGUUUGUUCA